rnacentral:rRNA from 1 species
GCAAGUCGAACGGUGAACACGGAGCUUGCUCUGUGGGAUCAGUGGCGAACGGGUGAGUAACACGUGAGCAACCUGCCCCUGACUCUGGGAUAAGCGCUGGAAACGGCGUCUAAUACUGGAUAUGUGACGUGAUCGCAUGGUCUGCGUCUGGAAAGAAUUUCGGUUGGGGAUGGGCUCGCGGCCUAUCAGCUUGUUGGUGAGGUAAUGGCUCACCAAGGCGUCGACGGGUAGCCGGCCUGAGAGGGUGACCGGCCACACUGGGACUGAGACACGGCCCAGACUCCUACGGGAGGCAGCAGUGGGGAAUAUUGCACAAUGGGCGCAAGCCUGAUGCAGCAACGCCGCGUGAGGGACGACGGCCUUCGGGUUGUAAACCUCUUUUAGCAGGGAAGAAGCGAAAGUGACGGUACCUGCAGAAAAAGCGCCGGCUAACUACGUGCCAGCAGCCGCGGUAAUACGUAGGGCGCAAGCGUUAUCCGGAAUUAUUGGGCGUAAAGAGCUCGUAGGCG